GACUGGUCCAAUUUACGACUAAAUGAUCACAACCAGUUACAAAUUUGUUUCUUCUCCACUCUCCCACUGCUUCACUUGGCUAGCCUUAA
rnacentral:sRNA from 1 species